GAUGAACGCUUGCGGCAGGCUUAAUACAUGCAAGUCGGACGGUAACAGGGUCUUCGGACUGCUGACGAGUGGCGGAUGGGUGAGUAACGCGUAUGCAACCUUCCUCACACCGAGAAAAAGUCGACUGAAAAGUUGAAUAAAGUCUCGUGGUGUGCAUUUCUCGCAUGAGAGAUGUAUGAUAGAAGCAAUUUGGUGUGAGAUGGGCAUGCGUAUCAUUAGCUAGUUGGUAAGGUAACGGCUUACCAAGGCGACGAUGAUUAGGGGGCCUGAGAGGGUGGUCCCCCACACUGGGACUGAGACACGGCCCAGACUCCUACGGGAGGCAGCAGUAGGGAAUAUUGGUCAAUGGGCGGAAGCCUGAACCAGCCAUGCCGCGUGAUGGAUGACGGCCUUAGGGUUGUAAACAUCUUUUCUGCUAGAGGAAUAGAGUUCACGUGUGGACAGACGACUGUAUAGCAGGAAUAAGGAUCGGCUAACUCCGUGCCAGCAGCCGCGGUAAUACGGAGGAUUCGAGCGUUAUCCGGAUUUACUGGGUUUAAAGGGUGCGCAGGCGGGCUCUUAAGUCAGCGGUGAAAUGUCUGGGCUUACCCUAGGAAUUGCCGUUGAUACUGGGAGUCUUGGAUAAGCAUAAGGACGGCGGAAUGCGUAGUGUAGCGGUGAAAUGCUUAGAUAUUACGUAGAAGACCAAUUGCGAAGGCAGCUGUCUAGGUCUUUAUCGACGCUCAAGCACGAAAGCGUGGGGAGCAAACAGG
rnacentral:rRNA from 1 species